AUCUUUCUAGGUUAGGGAAUGGAGAUAAGAUCUCCCUGAGGUCUUCCAGCUUCGGAAGCAAGAGGGAGAGCAAGCCUAGCAGAGGUACCCAUUCCAUUCCCAGUUUGCUCGGUAGCUGGUGAUUGGAAGACACUCUGCAACAUUA